UACGGAGGAUCCGAGCGUUAUCCGGAUUUAUUGGGUUUAAAGGGUGCGCAGGCGGGAGAUUAAGUCGGCGGUGAAAUUUUGCAGCUUAACUGUAACAGUGCCGUUGAUACUGGGGAGCUAGGAUUUGGUUGCUGUGGGUGGAAUGUGUGGUGUAGCGGUGAAAUGCUUAGAUAUCACACAGAACACCGAUUGCGAAGGCAGCACACUAAGUCAUUAUUGACGCUGAGGCACGAAAGUGUGGGGAGUCAAACAGGAUUAGA
rnacentral:rRNA from 1 species